rnacentral:lncRNA from 1 species
UUUCUGCACCUCCACCUUCAGCAGCACGCCGGAUCUCCACCUUCAGCAGCACGCCGGAUCUCCUUCUCCUCUUCCAGCUCACCGCAGAAAUUUUUCAGGUUUUUCUAAAAAUUUUUAUUAACUAUAUAUACCUUCUCAUUUUUUAUAUUUAAUUAUUUUUUAAUAUUAAUUAAUUAUUUUAUUAUUUUUUUAAAAUAUAAAUAAUAAUAUAAUAUAUAUUUUUAAUUUAUUAAUUUCAAAAUUCAUACUGCUUAGUGCCGAAAAGUGCCUGCUUUGUGCGGUGAGCUGGAAGAGGAGAAGAAGAUUCGGCGUGCUGCUGAAGAAGAUCCGACGUGCUGCUGAAGGUGGAGAUCCGACGUGCUGCUGAAGGUGGAGGUGCAGAAACGAGGUAAAGUGUGGAGAAGAAGAAGAACAGAGAGCUGGAGAAGAA